rnacentral:rRNA from 1 species
UGACCUAACUGCAAAGAAGGAGCUGCCGAAGGCGGGACCGAUGACUGGGGUGAAGUCGUAACAAGGUAGCCGUAUCGGAAGGUGCGGCUGGAUCACCUCCUUUCUAAGG